AGGAUAUUUCCCAUACUGUUGUUUGACCUAGUUGGUCAUACUUUUUUUUGCUUUUAAUUCAGUAAUAUUGGUUAUAGGUAUCAGCUGAGGAGUCAUAGCUGCAGGUCUGUAGCUUCCGGUAUGAAUAAAAUUAGAUGGAAGACAUGGAAGCAACGUAUUAAAAAGUUGCAAUUUAGGACAAACAAAAAAAUGCGUUUGUUUCGCACUGAUUUACCAAUUCCCGCCAAAAUUCUGUUCAAAUAUUUGAUUCCAAAAAAUUUAUUGGAAAUUUUGAUACAAAUUUCGUCACUUAACUUGGCUUUGGUGUUCUUUUAAACACCAUCAACAGCCUCGUAAAGUGAAGUUUUGCAUUUUUUUCACAUCUGAAAAUGGUUACUCUUGAUCUGCACGUGCAUUUAACAUAUUUCAUUCUCCGAGGUUGUUUACCAAUUUAAGAGAGUGUCUAAGACAAGUUAAGUGACAAUAUUAGUUACUGUAGUAAAUUGACAGAAGAAUUUAAUAGUACUAAUUUUGACAACAGAAUAUGUGCGGGAAAAAAGGUAAAUCAGGCUAAAACUAGCGCAAAUUUUUGUUUUUGUUGAACUGUAGCCCUCAGGUUUCACAACGUUUUGUUUAAAAAGUCAUAAAUCUUGCAAAAUGUGAAAAUUUUAUUUGACAAUGAAAUAAUGAUGUGUUCAUCGGGAAAAGAGUGUAGUGUACUUUUCUGCAAAACGUCACCGAGUGACACUUUCUUCGUUGUAAAAAUUUAUUUUGGGAAGUACAAACUUUACAGGUUUAUUUUAUACGAUGUUUGUACAUUUGAUAUUUUGAAUUUGAGAUGGUUGAAUGUAAAUAAAAUUAUUUUUGAUUUAGUCUUUAAAUAAACGUAUAUUUUUAUGGAUAUCAGGUAAGUAAAUCCGAUAAUUCAUAUCGUGUUUAGCUUUGAAAUUUUUGUAUUAUGAAAUCUUGUAAAUAAUAAUUGUACAGUAUCAAUAUUUGGAAAUUGUGCUUGUAAAGCAAAGUACAACAAUUUAAAGACAACUAAGAAUGUCUGAUUAUAAAUUUCAUAUAAUUAAAAUAUUUAAAUUAU
rnacentral:sRNA from 1 species